UCCCAGGUAGCUCAAUGGCUAAAGAACCUGCCUGCCAAUGCAGGAGACACAGGUUUGAUCCCUGGAUUGGGAA
rnacentral:tRNA from 1 species